AAAAUACGAACACGAGAUCACCUGUAUAUAUAUAUAUAUAUAUAUAUAUAUAUAUAUAUAUAUAUAUAUACAGGUGAUCUCGUGUUCGUAUUUU